rnacentral:rRNA from 1 species
AUUGAACGCUGGCGGGAGGCUUAACACAUGCAAGUCGAGCGCGCGGCGGACGGGUGAGGAAUGUAUGGGAAACUGCCUGAUGGCGGGGGAUAACUACUGGAAAAGGUGGCUAAUACCGCAUAAGAUUAGAUCUGCUACAAUGGGAUUAGCUAGUAGGUGGGGUAAAGGCGCACCUAGGCGACGAUCCCUACCUGGUCUGAGAGGACGACCAGCCACACUGGGACUGAGACACGGUCCAGACUCCUACGGUAGGCAGCAGUGGGGAAUAUUGCACAAUUGGCGAAAGCCUGAUGCAGCCAGGCCGCGUGUGUGAAGAAGGCCUUCGGGUUGUAAAGCACUUUCGGCGAAGAAGCGUUACUUGCAGAAUAAGCACCGGCUAACUACGUGCCAGCAGCCGCGGUAAUAC